rnacentral:lncRNA from 1 species
UCUCUCUCUCUCUCUCUCUCUCUCUCUCUCUCUCUCUCUCUAUAUAUAUAUAUAUAUAUAUAUAUAUAUAUAUAUAGAACUAGGUUGGAAUACUAUCAAUAGCACUAAGCUAAUGGUGCUAUUAAUUUUUUAAGCCCUUGGAUUGAGAAAUGGGUGGUUAGGAUGAUGUGGGGCCCCUAGGGUUGAAUGAGUGAUUGGUUGAAUAGUAUAAUCUAACGGGUAAAAAUAAUCAAAGGGUUAAAUAACGGUGAAAAACUUGAUAGCACCAAAUCGUUGGUGCUAUCGAUAGUACCCCAGCCGAACUCUCUCUCUCUCUCUCUCUCUCUCUCUCUCUCUCU